GCUGAACCGUUCUGCUCGGAAGUAAGAAGCUUUUCUCUUGUGAGGGCGGUGGUGACCUGAUUGUCUCUAAGCUCUCAGGCAAUUUAUAGCUUGCUCUUGGGAAUGUGUUGAAGACGUCCUCCUGGAUCUACUGGGCUGACACAACAUUAUACUUUGCCGCAAGUGUGUAUCAUCUCUUUGCCUAUUGAAGCAGACUCAUUUUUAUUAAAAGGAAGAUCGGGUCAAUUGUUCUGUAGAGACAAAGAGAGAGCUCUUUGUCACUCUUAUCAUUCCAUUUCUUAAGUACUUUUACAUCUAGAGUACUUUUGCUGUUGAGAAUUAACUUAUCCCCUGAUUGUAUGGUAUUUUAAAAAUAUUAUUUUCAGAACUUUUACAAAAUCUGUU
rnacentral:lncRNA from 1 species